rnacentral:misc_RNA from 1 species
GAAAUGCGAUAAGUAAUGUGAAUUGCAGAAUUUAGUGAAUCAUCGAAUCUUUGAACGCACAUUGCGCCCCUUGGUAUUCCGGGGGGCAUGCCUGUUCGAGCGUCAUUUCAACCCCUCAGGCCGGUGCCUGCUGUUGGGGCAUGCUACCUCAGCAGCCCUUAAAACUAGUGGCGGUGCCCUGUGGCUCUAAGCGUAGUAAUACUUCCGCUACAGUGCCUACAGGGUUACCUGCCAGCAACCCCAAAUUCUAUGGUUGACCUCGGAUCAGGUAGGGAUACCCGCUGAACUUAA